CAGGGAGACAACAAAAUGUUUAAUAUUAUUAUUUUGUCACCUUAGGUCGAUCGGUAUCUCACGUUUUUAAUUUAUUAAGAAUUUCAUUUCCUAAGUUUUUCUAGGUCACACCCAUUAUUUUUCCUGGGCCAUUAGCUCAGGUGGUUAGAGCGCACCCCUGAUAAGGGUGAGGUCCCUGGUUCAAGUCCAGGAUGGCCCAUAUCUCUAUGUUGGGGGUAUAGCUCAGUUGGUAGAGCGCCUGCUUUGCAAGCAGGAUGUCAGCGGUUCGAGUCCGCUUACCUCCACUGAUUACCACCUCUUCCAUAACCGGUAGUAAGGAAAUGUUUUGAGUUGUGACCAAAUCCUGAAAGAAUCUAGCUUCCUAAUGAAAUCAUUAAGAUGCUGGACUCAUUGAAUUAACUUCAUUGUUUUCAGAGAACCUUGACGACUGCAUAGAUUAUUUUUAAAGACAAUAAGCAUCUUUAAUGAUGCAGAUUUAUUAUUUGUGCGAAUGCAUUAAUAACAAUUCUAUUAAGCUGAUGCUUCAAUUUUUGAAGUUAUU
rnacentral:tRNA from 1 species